rnacentral:tRNA from 1 species
UCCCAGGUGGCUUAGAUGGUAAAGAAUCUGCCUGCAAUGCAGGAGACAUGGGUUUGAUCCCUGGCUUGGGAA